rnacentral:rRNA from 1 species
GGGCGCAAKYCUGAUGCAGCGMCGCCGCGUGAGGGAUGGAGGCCUUCGGGUUGUAAACCUCUUUUAUCGGGGAGCAAGCGAGAGUGAGUUUACCCGUUGAAUAAGCACCGGCUAACUACGUGCCAGCAGCCGCGGUAAUACGUAGGGUGCAAGCGUUAUCCGGAAUUAUUGGGCGUAAAGGGCUCGUAGGCGGUUCGUCGCGUCCGGUGUGGAAGUYCAUCGCUUAACGGUGGAUCCGCGCCGGGUACGGGCGGGCUUGAGUGCGGUAGGGGAGACUGGAAUUCCCGGUGUAACGGUGGAAUGUGUAGAUAUCGGGAAGAACACC